rnacentral:rRNA from 1 species
AAUUAGAUCUAGUUCUACCCGGUAAAGCGAAUGAUUAGAUGUUUUUGGGUUUUUUAUUUACCUGAGCAUAUUCUCAAACUUUUAAUAGGUAGGAUAUUUGUUGUUGCUUUGUGGAACACAAAUAUGGAAUAGAAUUGUUAAGUGGGCCAUUUUUGGUAAGCAGAACUGGCGAUGCGUGUUGAAACGGUCGUGUGAGUUAAGGUGCCAAAAUUAUCACUUAUCUAGAUACUGCAAAAGAUGUUAUUUCAUUUAGACAGCUGGACGGUGGCCAUGGAAGUCGGAACCCGCUAAGAAGUGUGUAACAACUUACCAGCAUAGUGAAGUAGCUCUGAAAAUGGAUGGCGCUUAAGUGAUAUACCUAAACUCAACCAUAAUUGUUAACAAAUAGUACACAAUUAUGUGUAGGGGAGCGUGGUAUUUCUAGAUAAAAUUGUUUCGUGAGAGACAUUGGAAGAAAUACUAGUGCAGAUCUUGGUGGUAGUAGCAAUGAUUCAAAUGUGAUCUUUGAAGACUGAAGUGGAGAAAGGUUCCAUGGGAAACGUCUUGUUCCAUGGGUUAGUCGAUCCUAAGUUGGUAGCGAAAGCUUGUAAAGGAGUAUGGAUAGUGAAUAUUUUGCGAAAUAUUUAACAAAUGCAUAUUCAUCAACGAAAGGGAAAUAGGUUCAUAUUCCUAUACCCAAAUGAUGCAAAUUGAUUAAGAAUUGGUAACAAAAGGAAUAUCCAAGACAUCUGUUUAGGAUCUCAGAAGAAAUUACUCUUCUUAUUAACAGUUUAUGUGACAUGCAAGUCAUAUUUUUACAUUAGCUAACCCUUUUGUAAACGUAACCCCAUGAAAGCGAAUUAUUCGGAGAUAUGGUGUUAUAACUGGGAUAGGUGAGGCCUUGCGCUUUGUGAAAUCAUACGAUUUCAUCUCACUUGAGAACUCCUAAAAGGAUCCUUGAAAAUUGGAUAGACUGCUUAUGCAUUGUCAUCAUGGUUCGUACUCAUAACCGCAUCAGGUCUCCAAGGUGAAUAGCCUCUAGUUUAUAGAAGAAUGUAGGUAAGGGAAGUCGGCAAAAUAGAUCCGUAACUUUGGGAAAAGGAUUGGCUCAAUGGGUUGAUGUAUAACAACCACCAUUGAACUGAAACGGACAAGAGGAAUCCGACUGUUUAAUUAAAACAAAGCAUUGCGAUGGUCCGCAAAGGAUGUUUACGCAAUGUGAUUUCUGCCCAGUGCUUUGAAUAUCAACGUGGAGAAAUUCAACUAAGUAGUGGUCAACGGCGGGAGUAACUAUGACUCUCUUAAGGUAGCCAAAUGCCUCGUCAUCUAAUUAGUGACGCGCAUGAAUGGAUUAAUGAGAUUCCUACUGUCCCUAUCUACGAUCUAGCGAAACCACAGCCAAGGGAACGGGCUUGGAAGUGUCAGCGGGGAAAGAAGACCCUGUUGAGCUUGACUCUAAUCUGACUUUGUGAAGUGGCUUAGGAGGUGUAGCAUAAGUG